UAUUCAGUAUUUAUCCAAAUAUAGCCAAUCAUUCAAUUUUAUACCAAAUACGAAUAUAUAUUGUUCAUAAUAUCUUUUAUUUUAUGCUUUUUUUCCAAGAUUUUCAAAAUUCUGAAAACUAAUAAUCCUAGCAUCCUUAUACGCUAUAAAUAUCAAAGUCAUUCUCAUUUCCAAAUCAUUAAAAAAAUGGUUAUCUCAAAGGUGUUGUGACGGAGAUCAUUCACGACACAUGAUGUGGUGCUCCGUUGUAUCGUGUAGCUUUCCGUCAUCAUUUCCGAUUCAAGAAGCAUAAGCUCUUCCUUGCUGCUGAAGGAUGAAGUUGCCAUCGGGUUCGAAAAAGAUUGUGCCAAGUGGAUGCAUGGCCAUGAUUGGUCAAGUUGCAGGUGGUGGAAGAACUGAGAAGCCGAUGCUAAAUGCUGGUAACACAUACCACAAGUACCGUGUGAAGAGAAACAUGAUUCGGUUCUUAUUUAUCUAGGUUCUUCCUAGGUUCGAACAAAGUGAUGCAGGUUGCUCUUGGUCGUGAUGAAUUCCGUUCUGGUAUCUACAAGUCUCCAAGAUCAACAAACAAGCUUGACUAUGAUCAUCCAAAUUCUGUUUGAUGAAUGCUUAGCCAAGUUCCAAUAAUUGAUGGAAUUUAUCUUGAGGCUUAUCUACCACCAAAGAAGUUACUUCAGCGAGAAAGAUAUUCACAGAGCACACGUAACAAGCCUUCACAUGAUCACUCAGAGACUGAGCUAAGCAAUGCUCACGGCGAGGUGAUUGAACAAGGCUUCAAGCUGAAAUGGUUGAAGUUAAAGCUUGAUGAGGUUUCCUUAAAGAGGAAGAAAUUAGAUGUUGAUGUCCUACAACUCGAUGAACGUGUUAAGAAUAUUGAGCUGAUGAGAUUGGACUUCAAGCUGGAUUGUUUGAAGACAAAUCUUGAGGAGGUGUCCUUGGAGAGGAAGAAAUCAGACGAUGCUUGAUGUCUCGGGUCCAACAACUCGAGGAAUGCUUCAAGAACCUUGAGAUGAUUGUGUUGGAUCUCAAAGUUAAAUUGGACAAGGAGGAGGCCAAAUCUUCUGCUGAUGAUUUUUUGUUGAUCAAUGAGGUUGAAUGACGUAGAGAUUCUAAUAGUCAAAAUUAGUCUUUAUCAAAAGACCUGCUUAAUGCUUAUGUUGAUGGUUUUAUGCUUUAUUUUUCUCUGCUCCACUUUUGGAUAUUUUUCUUCAAUCAUAUUUUUUGUUUUUGUGGUAAGAUUCAAUCCAAAAAUUAAUGAGCAAAUCAAUUCGUUU